rnacentral:rRNA from 1 species
UAAGAUUAAAAUGUAACUGAGCUGUCAUAAGCCCAAGAUACACCUAAGACCACCCCUGAGGCGAUCUUAGCACCUUGCGAUUUAUUAAACUCCACGAAAGCUAAGGCCCAAACUGGGAUUAGAUACCCCACUAUGCCUAGCCCUAAAUCCUAAUGCUUACUCUACCAAAGCAUUCGCCUGGGAACUACGAGCACAAACGCUUAAAACCCUAAGGACUUGGCGGUGCCCCAAACCCACCUAGAGGAGCCUGUUCUAUAAUCGAUACCCCACGAUACACCCGACCGCUCCUUGCCAAGGCAGCCUACAUACCGCCGUCGCCAGCUCACCUCCAUUGAAAGCACAGUAGUGAGCAUAAUAGUCCAAACCCACUAACAAGACAGGUCGAGGUAUAGCCUAUGGAGCGGAAGAAAUGGGCUACAUUUUCUAAUAUAGAAAACUACGGAAGGGGGUGUGAAACCGCCCCCAGAAGGAGGAUUUAGCAGUAAACCGGGACAAUGACGCCCGCUUUAAGUCGGCCCUGGGGCACGUACAUACCGCCCGUCACCCUCC